rnacentral:rRNA from 1 species
GCGGAAGGAUCAUUGUCGAUUCCUGCGAUAGCAGAAUGACCCGCUAACACGUAAAAACAUCGGGCAAGCGUCGGUGGGCUUGAUUCCCCCGUUGCGAACCCCAGGAAGGUGGGCGCUCCCGGGCGCUCGUCGGCCGACGAAAUCAACCGGGCGCGGAAUGCGCCAAGGAAAUCAGAAUAGAACUGUACGUUUGCUUCCCGUUCGUGGGAGGCGGCGUCUUUCCUAAACACAAACGACUCUCGGCAACGGAUAUCCCGGCUCUUGCAUCGAUGAAGAACGUAGCGAAAUGCGAUACUUGGUGUGAAUUGCAGAAUCCCGUGAACCAUCGAGUCUUUGAACGCAAGUUGCGCCCGAAGCCACUAGGCUGAGGGCACGCCUGCCUGGGUGUCACGCAUCGUGUUGCCCCCUGACCACUCACUCCUUGAGGAGCUGCAUUGGUUACAGGGCGGAUAUUGGCCUCCCGUGCCUUGCGGUGCGGUUGGCCUAAAAGCGAGUCUCUGGUGACAGAUGUUGCGAUAUUUGUGGUUGAAAUAAACACCCUCUUCUCUUGUCGUGCGAAUGCCUGUCACCUCGGUGAGCUCAGUACCCUCGAGUGCCGCACACGGCGCGCGCUUUACUGUGACACCAGACAGGYGGAUCAUCUCGCUGUUUACC